GAUUUCCAAGCUUGGUGUUCUAUUUCUUCAAUUUCUCAUUUAAUUUAGAGAGGAAAAUACUCAAGGAACGCUUGUGAAGGGAUAUGAUUUAUUAUAGCGAGAGCAUGAUAUCAUACUUGGAAUUAGAAAGUGAUGAGGCGACGAGAAUAUCGAAACCAUGAUCUUUAACUUUAUGAGUGGAUAUAAACUUAUUUUUCAGAAAUUAGUAUUCAUUAAAUUUCUAUUAAAUCAGAAAAUCUAUUAUUUCAUAUAGUUGAUUUGACAGCAUGAUUUUCAGAAGAAAGUUGAUUCAUAAACAAUUGUUUUAAAAUUAAAUUCAGUUCAGUUAAAUUAUUUCACUGGCAUACUAAUUCAAUAUUAAAUACUUCAGCACAUUUAAAGUUAUUUUUAAAACCACCAGAAAGUACCCAAGUGAUUUUACCCGCUCUGCACUGGUGUGAAUGUGUUUCCACAGUGUAUGACCAGUUAUGGUGAUUUUACCCGCUCUGCAUUAUUGUGAAUAUGUUUCCAUGGUGUAUGACCAGAAUUACAGAAUUUCAGCUCUGCGGGCGUAUGACCAAAAUUUAAGAAUUAUAGAAUUCCAGAAUUACAGAAUUUCAAAACUGAAUAGCUUUGCCAUGUAUAUCGGUACUAACCGAUACAUGAGUAAGGUUAUUCCGGGUACCUUUUUCGUGUGAUGUUUCAAUAUUUUUCUAUAGCUUAUGAGAUCAUAUUAUAGAAUUCAGUUUUCAAAAUAAAGCUUUCAACUUAUAGUAUUGACCAGUAACAAUAUUUCAUAGAUUUUCAUGAAUUUCAGAUUAUUCGUUAAACUUUACAGCUACUUAUCUAGAAUGAAGAACAAAGAAUUUUAUUAUACAAUCAUUUUUUAGUUUUAAAAGUGUUACUAGUUUUCAGAAUUUCUCAAAGAUUUAAUAAAGCUAGAAUUUUUAAAAAAUAUGUAGAAAUGGAAAAAGUAUAUUUAUUUGCAAAUUAUCCACGCACUGAGCUAUAAGCCCAUAUGUCUUUUCACCUUUUUCCUUAUCAUAUAGAGGUACGCGUCAUAGGUUGUAUGGCCUACUUUAUCAGACUAUGUAGUACAUGUUUCUUUGGGUUAUAUGUAGUUUAUGUCAGAAAAGGUUAUCAUGUGUUCACUGCAUAUUUGGCGUCUUUAGUAUAUUUGAGAAUUGUUGGUUGUAAAGAAAGGAAAUGUUGAUUUGCCCACAUUUUAUUUGAAUAAUUUGUAUUUUGAAGAAUUGUCGUAUCCUAUUUAUAUUGUAGGUAUUGAUUUGAAGAAAACUAAUUAUUGUUAAGGUGAUUUUAGUUCAUAUUUCAAGGGGAACUCUGUCAUAAUUUUGUUAAAAAUAUUUUUCAAUCAAGCAAGUCAAGUUGCUUUGGUGGUGGGUCCGGUGUUUAGCUGGUGUCUACCAUCGGUGCAUGACACGUGUCGAAUCCAUUAAGGUGAUUCGGGACAGGUCAUGUCAUAGUAUGCAUUGGAGAUACUGGAAGAUGUUGGAUUUUUGGGACCUAAAUCAACAUGGUUUCCAAAGGAAUAAAACUUGGUUCUUACACAAUCCGAUGGAGACCUUUUUGGUGAUCCUUCGCCAAAUAGGCGCCUUGUGGGAAGAUUAAUCUACUAAAAUAUUACUAGACCAGAUUUGGUCUAUGUUGUUCAUGCUUUAAAUCAAUUUAUGGACAAACCACAUGUAACACAUCUUGAGGCAGCACAGAGUCCUUAAAUACUUGAAGCAAACAAGGUAUUUUAAUUUUCUCCAAAGCACACUUCAAUUAAAGGCAUUUUGUGAUGCGGAUUGGGCACGUUGCAAGGACGCAAGAAGAUCUAUAACAGGAUAUUUUGUAUUUCUUGGAGUAUCAUUCAUUUACCAGAAAAAAAUAAGCAGACUACGGUGGCCCAAUCAAUUGUCAAGGCAGAGUAUCGCGCUUUGUCUAAUAUAGGAUGUGAAAUUACUAAGUUGAAAAACGUCUUGAAAAACUUGGGAGUCAAGCAUCCUCAACCAGUCAUGUUGUUCUAUGAUAACUGAGCUGCUUUACGUAUUGCCUCAAAUCCAAUUUUUCAUGAACGAACAAAGCAUAUUGAAAUUGAUUGCCAUUUAGUUCGAGAAAAUAUUCAAGAAGGCUUGAUCAGAACAGCGCAUGUGAGGACCAAUGAUCAAACUGCAGACUUAUUUACUAAGGCAUUGAGUACAUCAGAGGUUGAAGUACUACUUAACAAGUUGGGUGGUCGUCAACAUCCACUUCAACUUGAAGGGGAGUGUUGAAGACAAUCAAGUAAAAUAGGAAAGAUGUAUAUUUUACUGUAAUAUUAAAGUAGGAAAGCAAAUAACCUGUAUCAAUGUAAUUAAUUAAUUUUAUUUUUUUAUUUUUUUAUAAUUCAAGUAAAAGAUAUAGCUAUUUUAUAGGCACUAGAAUAGAAUAUAAACUGCCUCUCUUGUGUAUGAAGUCAUGGACUUGGUAUUA